GUCAGUGUGGUGUAGUGGUUUGAGCACUGGACUAUGACUCUACAGGUCAAGGUUUGAAUCCUGGCUCAGCCA